CCUUCUCCUUUGUUAAAUCAGAAGGCUUUUGGCGAUUUUUUCUUACCCUACUCCACGUUCUCACUGACAGAGAACAGCUAGCUACUAAGGAUAUCUUGUCCAUAUUUUCGCAAGGAAAGGCUGCUUUGAGGAAGUUGUUCAGUUAUGAGAGAGGCAAGCUCAUCAACGUUUGGGUUGUUGCUAAGAUCGAGCAAGUCAAACAAACAACAGGUGCAUUGCAGUCCAAGCUGGUCAUUGUUGAAAAAUCUGAGGGUUUGCAAUAUACAUCCAUAGGUACAGUGUGAUGAGAAACCAUCCAUUUGUGUGUCGUAAUGUGUGUUGGUGUAAAGUGUACUAUUAUGUUUUCAUCUUGUAAGAAAACUGCCACUUUGUGUCAUAUGUAUUGAUGUACUCAGAAAAAAAUUUAUUCACAGGAAGGUGUUGUAGGCUCUGGUCUUCUUUUGUUGAUUGUGAUUUUUGAGCCUUUUGGUAAAUAUAGCUGUUUUGAACGAGUCCAAAGUCGAAUUUAUCUUCUACCGUUCUGUAUUAGAAGUUUACUCUGGUCUUUCAAGUUUCAAACACCAAUUGGAUUUAAUUUACAUGUUUUUCUUGAUUGUGAGCUACACCUAUUUCUUAAAGAUUUGGAAGCCACCGCUUAUCUGUAAUCAGCUGUCUGUAAUAUAUGUACUUCGUGAGGUGCAACAUGUUUUUCGUGAGGUUAUGCAAGAUUUUAUUUUCUCUGAAACUACCACCGCUUAUCUGUAAUCUUUGUACGUGUACCAUGCUCUCUAGUUUCCAAAGCUCAACAUUGGGCCACCAAAUCAGAAGAGGUCGUCUAAGGCUCCCAUCACCUUUACCUGAAAUAUCCUAAACCCUGAUUCAGAGUCGAAACUGUUGCACCUACCUACAAAUUAAAAAAUAUACACAAGUGAACACUAUAAAUUCAAUCUGUAAAGCAAAAAAAAUAAAAGCAGCGUUUGUUUUUAAGAAAACAAUCGUAGUUGGCAUCAAUCCAGUUAUUAAAAGAAAAGAGGAAACACAAAGAAUCACAAUAUAUAUCCUAACAUAAAGACCUAGACGAAGCAGAAGAAAAACGAAAAAUUA